rnacentral:rRNA from 1 species
GAGUUUGAUCCUGGCUCAGAUUGAACGCUGGCGGCAUGCCUUACACAUGCAAGUCGAACGGCAGCACGGGGGCAACCCUGGUGGCGAGUGGCGAACGGGUGAGUAAUAUAUCGGAACGUACCCUAGAGCGGGGGAUAACGUAGCGAAAGUUACGCUAAUACCGCAUACGAUCUACGGAUGAAAGUGGGGGCUCGCAAGACCUCAUGCUCAUGGAGCGGCCGAUAUCUGAUUAGCUAGUUGGUGAGGUAAGGGCUCACCAAGGCGACGAUCAGUAGCUGGUCUGAGAGGACGACCAGCCACACUGGGACUGAGACACGGCCCAGACUCCUACGGGAGGCAGCAGUGGGGAAUUUUGGACAAUGGGGGCAACCCUGAUCCAGCAAUGCCGCGUGAGUGAAGAAGGCCUUCGGGUUGUAAAGCUCUUUUGUCAGGGAAGAAACGGUGAAGGCUAAUAUCCUUUGCUAAUGACGGUACCUGAAGAAUAAGCACCGGCUAACUACGUGCCAGCAGCCGCGGUAAUACGUAGGGUGCAAGCGUUAAUCGGAAUUACUGGGCGUAAAGCGUGCGCAGGCGGUUAUGUAAGACAGAUGUGAAAUG